rnacentral:lncRNA from 1 species
UCACUUCCAUUUAUUUUCUCACAAGGGUCAUCAGAAAGAGAGAGAAAGAACACAUACAGAACAGAACAAAGGAAGCUGAAGAAAGAGAAAGCACAUCACAGUUCCACAGAACCUGAACGUAAACACAGACACCAACGAUCUUACUCUCACUUCACCUCACCAACUAAACCACACCCUUUUCAUUAUCAUCAUCGUCUUCUUCUUCUUCUUCUUCUUCUUCUUCUUCUUCUUCUUCUUUCUGCAACUUUAUCUUUCUUCUACCGUAUUCUCUGCAC